CCUACGGGGGGCUGCAGUGGGGAAUAUUGGACAAUGGGGGGAACCCUGAUCCAGCCAUGCCGCGUGUGUGAAGAAGGCCCUCGGGUUGUAAAGCACUUUCAGGGAGGAAGAACGCCUGGUGGUUAAUACCCAUCAGGAAAGACAUCACUCACAGAAGAAGCACCGGCUAACUCCGUGCCAGCAGCCGCGGUAAUACGGAGGGUGCGAGCGUUAAUCGGAAUUACUGGGCGUAAAGCGCGCGUAGGUGGCUUGAUAAGCCGGUUGUGAAAGCCCCGGGCUCAACCUGGGAACGGCAUCCAGAACUGUCAAGCUAGAGUGCAGGAGAGGAAGGUAGAAUUCCCGGUGUAGCGGUGAAAUGCGUAGAGAUCGGGAGGAAUACCAGUGGCGAAGGCGGCCUUCUGGACUGACACUGACACUGAGGUGCGAAAGCGUGGGUAGCAAACAGGAUUAGAUACCCGAGUAGUC
rnacentral:rRNA from 1 species